rnacentral:rRNA from 1 species
UACGAAGGGGGCUAGCGUUGCUCGGAAUCACUGGGCGUAAAGCGCACGUAGGCGGACUUCUUAGUCAGGGGUGAAAUCCCAAGGCUCAACCUUGGAACUGCCUUUGAUACUGGGGAUCUCGAGUCCGGAAGAGGUGAGUGGAACUGCGAGUGUAGAGGUGAAAUUCGUAGAUAUUCGCAAGAACACCAGUGGCGAAGGCGGCUCACUGGUCCGGUACUGACGCUGAGGUGCGAAAGCGUGGGGAGCAAACAGGG